CUGAACUCCAGUAGGGCCCAAGCCAGCCAGGAAGGAGGAGGCAGCCAGAGAGGCCUCCACUGUUCUCUGCAGCAGAAGACUCCCUGCUGCCAGGUGUUUCGAUGUCUACUGGAGACCAAAGCAGAACGUGCCGAUGGACCCAGCAUGAUUCCCAUCAAUCUUGUAUCAUUUUCAUUAGACGGUCAGAGUACAAGUCACCAUUAUUUUAUGCUGUCUGUCCAUGGACUGGAAUAGUGCAAGCACCCCCAACCCUCUGAUGAGCAGCACACCCAGAACCGUACAGAUCUCCAUCCGUGAUGUGUCAUCUCCACUGCCAUUUUUGAGAAGGUAAGAACCACCAGGAAUCGUUUCUGAGCAGCCAGAGAGGGCUCCCCCUGUUUCUUACCAUCUCCAUUCCCCAGUGCAAAUGACAGAAAACUCGCUUCUCUCCUAAGCCCUCUUCCUGUGUGCCAGGAAAAGGAUCUGAGGGAAGAGAGGGGAUUGGUGAUGACCACAAAUAAAGGAAGGAGCUAACCCUAAAUUGUAGGUCCCUGUUUAUCUUUGUCAUUCUUACAGUUAAAAAGCUGUGCUCCAAGCUGGGUCUGUUAAAAUACAACUUUGAUACCGUCAGAAGUCUUUGGGUGAUGCUAGCUGUUUACAAGUCCCAACAGCUGCUACAGCUUCUUGUGAAAAGCUUGCUUAUUUAUUACAGCUAUUUAUUGAAUGUAUAUACUGAUUUUCCAUAAGAUACUCAAAACAAGCAGAACCAACAAAAUUAAAAACAACCAAUCAUAAAAAUGCAAAUAUCACAUAAGCAAAAUAACAAUAAAAUCCAGAGUCAGCAUGAGAACGCCUGCCUGAACAAAAACCACAUAGUUCUAAGUAGAACGAAUGGAGCCGACUUUCCACUUCUUUUGACUUAAUCUUAACUGAAGACCCCCUCCACGUACUGUGAAUUUGGUUUGUAUCUGACCGUCAACACAUGGGUUAUAGAGGGGUGUUGCCUAUACUCUGAAUGGCCACCAUUUUGAGACAUACGCCCAAUGGGAUCCUCUAGAACUCCUUUCCCUAUGCUGUGAAUUUAGCUUGUAUUGGAUGCAAAUGUUAUUAGAAGGUAACACACAGAGACAUGAUCUCAUAAGCCCGGUGGUUCAGCGGUGGCUAGCCUGCCUAAAUACCCCACCUCUAUAACAAGGUUAGCAGAGCAAGCGCGCGCGCUAACCCCGUUUCUGUGAUUGUGAGUUGCCGUGGUACGGCUACCGCGCUGCAGCAACUCACAAGGAGACCCCUGACCAGGAGGCAACAACAAGCCUCCCGGUGUCAAGGGUCUCCCUAGAA